rnacentral:rRNA from 1 species
AAAACAAGCAGUAUAGUCCCAUCCAAUUUGCUUGCAAAUGGGUGGAGAUAGAGCAUAUGCGAUGAGACCCGAAAGAUGGUGAACUAUGCCUGAGCAGGAUGAAGUCAGAGGAAACUCUGAUGGAAGUCCGAAGCGGUUCUGACGUGCAAAUCGAUCGUCUGAC